UAUCAAUAAGUAGAUAGGACAGUAGGUACGUAGCUUAGCCGGCUGCUACAGCGCGCUAGCAUAUCUAGUCUUCUAUCUGUAGCUAUGGUCGGCACGUCUGGUAGCAUCUCUGGCUGCUGUUUACCUUGUUUUUGCAGUAAAACGCGGUGGAAGCUGAAUUAGUGAGGAUGACUCCUGCUCCUGUCAUCUCUAAGCUCCUCACACAUCUUUACCUGCACAUGAGGAAAAUCACUCCUGUAGAAUGCAGUGGUUCAUCAGAACCUCUGGGGAUCCUGUGGAUUCUGUGGAUCCUGUGGGUUGCAGGGUGGGUCCUACCUAGACCAGGCUGAUCCUGGACCAUCCCACAGAUGCUCCAUCAGAUGUGGAUGUGGGGAGUGUGGAACCCAGAUGUUCAGAGGCAGAUGAUGCCACAUCUGGUCCAGCUGAUGGAAGGUCUUGAAGUUCUCUGACUGGCCUGGACUGAAGAUGGUCGUCUCACUGGAUUUAAGGUUCAGAUGCUGUUAUUUGUUUAGUCCAUACUAAAUGACACAAAUCCACAACUGUAAUUAGUUUUUUUCCUUGUUAAAAGGGUGUUUUCCUGCCACUGUCACCUUAGGGCUGCUCUGGGGUUCAGGCAUAUGGGUUCUGUAAAGCGUCUCGAGACAAUUUUACUGUAAUUGGUGCUGUAUAAAUAAAAUUAAAUUGAAAAAUUUGAAUUGAAUUAAUUUUAUUUCAGGACUCGGUUAUUAAAUGUCAAAACAAUCCAUGUAACUCUAAAAACUCAACAGCUUUACAAACUCUAAGAUUAAACUCUCCACAAGGAUCCAAAAUAAGUUGGACUUCUACAUGAGAGCUUUAAUUAUUCAUCUACUUCCUGAAAAGUUUGGUCAAUAAAAAAGACAAAAACUAAUGUUUUCAGCUGAACUAAAGACAGACUUUGUGAUUUUUCUGCUCACAUGUUGUGUUGUUGUAAACUUCCUCUUUCAAAUAAAUAGCCUCCUAACCCCCUGGAAACCAGUGUUUGUCCUGUUUUUGUGUUGCUCCUCUGCGACCCUAGACAGCCAGGUCCUAAUGUUUUUUGAGCAACACACCAUACUAUGACGUUUUUACAAUGAGGGUUCUACUAUGCAACCAGUU